rnacentral:rRNA from 1 species
UACCAGCUCUCCGAGUAGUGUGGAUGUUUAUUGGGCCUAAAGCAUCCGUAGCUUGCUAAGCAAGUCCCCUGUUAAAUCCACCGAUUCAAUCGGUGGAUUGCGGGGGAUACUGUUUGGCUAGGGGACGGGAGAGGCCGACGGUAUUUCCGGGGUAGGGGUGAAAUCCUAUAAUCCCGGGAAGACCACCAGUGGCGAAGGCUGUCGGCUAGAACGCGCCCGACGGUGAGGGAUGAAAGCUGGGGGAGCGAACCGGAUUAGAUACCCGGGUAGUCCCAGCUGUAAACGAUGCAGGCUAGGUGUUUGGGCGGCCACGUGCCGCUCUAGUGCCGCAGAGAAGUCGUUAAGCCUGCCGCCUGGGGAGUACGGCCGCAAGGCUGAAACUUAAAGGAAUUGGCGGGGAGCACCACAAGGGGUGAAGCUUGCGGUUU